GCUGGACACAGUGGUGCAUGCUUGUAAUCCCAGUGACUUGGGAGGCUGAGACAGGAGGAUUGCAAGUUUAAGACUAGCCUUAGCAACUUAGUGAGAUCCUGUCUAAA
rnacentral:sRNA from 1 species